GACGAACGCUGGCGGCGUGCCUAAUACAUGCAAGUAGAACGCUGAAGAGAGGAGCUUGCUCUUCUUGGAUGAGUUGCGAACGGGUGAGUAACGCGUAGGUAACCUGCCUUGUAGCGGGGGAUAACUAUUGGAAACGAUAGCUAAUACCGCAUAACAAUGGAUGACACAUGUCAUUUAUUUGAAAGGGGCAACUGCUCCACUACAAGAUGGACCUGCGUUGUAUUAGCUAGUAGGUGAGGUAACGGCUCACCUAGGCGACGAUACAUAGCCGACCUGAGAGGGUGAUCGGCCACACUGGGACUGAGACACGGCCCAGACUCCUACGGGAGGCAGCAGUAGGGAAUCUUCGGCAAUGGGGGCAACCCUGACCGAGCAACGCCGCGUGAGUGAAGAAGGUUUUCGGAUCGUAAAGCUCUGUUGUAAGUCAAGAACGAGUGUGAGAGUGGAAAGUUCACACUGUGACGGUAGCUUACCAGAAAGGGACGGCUAACUACGUG
rnacentral:rRNA from 1 species